AUGAGCGACGACCCACUCAAGGAGUGGAUCCUCGCAGAGGGGAAGGCCACCCAGAUCACAGGGACCAGCUCCAUUGGGCGCGGCUGCAUCAACGCCGCCCAACGCUACGACACCGAUGCUGGCUCCUUUUUUGUGAAGACCAGCAGGCGCAUUGGUCCAGCUAUGUUUAAAGGGGAGGCUCUGGGCUUGAAGGCGAUGUAUGACACCAAGUCAAUCCAUGUCCCUUUGCCGUACAAGGUUGGUUCAUUACCAACUGGUGGUUCUUUUAUCAUCAUGGAGUAUAUUCAAUUUGGUCGUUCUAGGGGUGACCAGACAGCUCUAGGAAGAAAGCUGGCUGAAAUGCAUAAAGCUGCAAAAUCUGACAAGGGCUAUGGUUUCUAUGUUGAAAAUACUAUUGGAAGACUGGGAUACCAGUUGAAGUUGAUAUCACAGCGGUUCGGAGAUUCAGCCAUAUAUGAAAAAGGUCAGCAAUUGAUUGAGAAAAUGCAUCCACUGUUUGACGGUGCUGUUAUUGAACCAUGCCUGCUUCAUGGAGAUUUGUGGAGUGGAAAUAUAAGCGCUGAUACCAAUGGAGAUCCUGUAAUAUUGGAUCCAGCAUGCUACUAUGGACACAAUGAAGCAGAGUUUGGGAUGUCCUGGUGUGCUGGAUUCGGAGGGGAAUUCUACCGCUCCUAUUUCGAGGUGAUGCCAAAGCAGCCAGGCUUUGAGAAGAGGAGGGACCUGUAUCUCCUAUACCACUACCUGAAUCACUACAACCUUUUCGGCUCUGGGUACCGCUCCUCGGCUAUGUCCAUAAUCGAAGCCUGCCUGCAGAUGCUGAAGGCGUAG
rnacentral:rRNA from 1 species